UACGUAGGCAGCGAGCGUUGUUCGGAAUUACUGGGCGUAAAGGGCUCGUAGGUGGCCAACUAAGUCAGACGUGAAAUCCCUCGGCUUAACCGGGGAACUGCGUCUGAUACUGGAUGGCUUGAGUUUGGGAGAGGGAUGCGGAAUUCCAGGUGUAGCGGUGAAAUGCGUAGAUAUCUGGAGGAACACCGGUGGCGAAGGCGGCAUCCUGGACCAACACUGACACUGAGGAGCGAAAGCCAGGGGAGCAAACGGG
rnacentral:rRNA from 1 species